rnacentral:rRNA from 1 species
CUACGGAGGGUGCAAGCGUUACUCGGAAUUACUGGGCGUAAAGGACGCGUAGGCGGUUUAGAAAGUCAGAUGUGAAAGCCUAUGGCGUAACCAUAGAACUGCAUCUGAAACUCCUAGACUAGAGUGAGGGAGAGGUCAGUGGAAUUAGUGGUGUAGGGGUAAAAUCCGUAGAGAUCACUAGGAAUACUCAUAGCGAAGGCGACUGACUGGAACUUUACUGACGCUGAGGCGUGAAAGCGUGCGGAGCAAACAGGAUUAGAAACCCCAGUAGUCC